AUUGAACGCUGGCGGCAUGCCUUACACAUGCAAGUCGAACGGCAGCACGGGUGCUUGCACCUGGUGGCGAGUGGCGAACGGGUGAGUAAUACAUCGGAACAUGUCCUGUAGUGGGGGAUAGCCCGGCGAAAGCCGGAUUAAUACCGCAUACGAUCCACGGAUGAAAGCGGGGGACCUUCGGGCCUCGCGCUAUAGGGUUGGCCGAUGGCUGAUUAGCUAGUUGGUGGGGUAAAGGCCUACCAAGGCGACGAUCAGUAGCUGGUCUGAGAGGACGACCAGCCACACUGGGACUGAGACACGGCCCAGACUCCUACGGGAGGCAGCAGUGGGGAAUUUUGGACAAUGGGCCAAAGCCUGAUCCAGCAAUGCCGCGUGUGUGAAGAAGGCCUUCGGGUUGUAAAGCACUUUUGUCCGGAAAGAAAUCCUUGACUCUAAUACAGUCGGGGGAUGACGGUACCGGAAGAAUAAGCACCGGCUAACUACGUG
rnacentral:rRNA from 1 species